AGCAGCCGCGGUAAUUCCAGCUCCAAUAGCGUAUAUUAAAGUUGUUGCAGUUAAAAAGCUCGUAGUUGAAUUUCGGGAUCAAUAUAUCGGUCGUGCCAUUGGUACGUACUGGUAUCAUUGGUUUCUCCUUUCUGACGAACCAUGAUGUCAUUAAUUUGGUGUUAUGGGAAGUUAGGACUGUUACUUUGAAAAAAAUUAGAGUGUUUAAAGCAGGCUUUAGCUUGAAUACAUUAGCAUGGAAUAAUGAAAUAGGACGUUCGAACCUAUUUUGUUGGUUUCUAGGAUCAACGUAAUGAUUAAUAGGGAUAGUUGGGGGCAUUAGUAUUCAAUUGUCAGAGGUGAAAUUCUUGGAUUAUUGGAAAGACUAACUACUGCGAAAGCAUUUGCCAAGGAUGUUUUCAUUAAUCAAAGAACGAAAGUUAGGGGAUCGAAGACGAUCAGAUACCGUCGUAGUCUUAACCAUAAACUAUGCCGACUAGGGAUCGGAUGAUGUUAAUUUUUUAAUGACUCAUUCGGCGCC
rnacentral:rRNA from 1 species